AACGAACGCUGGCGGCAUGCCUAACACAUGCAAGUCGAACGAGACCUUCGGGUCUAGUGGUGCACGGGUGCGUAACGCGUGGGAACCUGCCCUUAGGUUCGGAAUAACUCCCCGAAAGGGGUGCUAAUAUCGGAUAAUGUCUCCGGACCAAAGAUUUAUCGCCUUUGGAUGGGCCCGCGUUGGAUUAGCUAGUUGGUAGGGUAAAAGCCUACCAAGGCGACGAUCCAUAGCUGGUCUGAGAGGAUGAUCAGCCACACUGGGACUGAGACACGGCCCAGACUCCUACGGAAGGCAGCAGUGGGGAAUAUUGAACGAUGGGCGAAAGCCUGAUCCAGCGAUGCCGCGUGAGUGAUUAAGGCCUUAGGGUUGUAAAGCUCUUUUACCCGGGAUGAUAAUGACAGUACCGUAAGAAUAAGCUCCGGCUAACUCCGUG
rnacentral:rRNA from 1 species